UACGUAGGGGGCAAGCGUUGUCCGGAUUUAUUGGGCGUAAAGGGUGCGUAGGCGGCCUUUUAAGUCAGAUGUGAAAGGUCACGGCUCAACCGUGGUAAGCAUUUGAAACUGGAAGGCUUGAGUUAAGGAGAGGAAAGUGGAAUUCCUAGUGUAGCGGUGAAAUGCGUAGAUAUUAGGAGGAAUACCAGUGGCGAAGGCGACUUUCUGGACUUAUACUGACGCUGAUGCACGAAAGCGUGGGGAGCGAACAGG
rnacentral:rRNA from 1 species